ensembl:lncRNA
GUGUAUUAGAGGUUAGUGUGUUAGGGGUUAGUGUGUUAGGGGUUAGUGUGUUAGGGGUUAGUGUGUUAGAGGUUAGUGUGUUAGAGGUUAGUGUGUUAGGGGUUAGUGUGUUAGGGGUUAGUGUGUUAGGGGUUAGUGUAUUAGAGGUUAGUGUGUUAGGGGUUAGUGUGUUAGGGGUUAGUGUGUUAGGGGUUAGUGUGUUAGAGGUUAGUGUGUUAGGGCUUAGUUUGCCUGACUGUCUCUAUCUGUGUCUCCCCCUCUCUCUUUUUGGGUAUCUCUCUCUUUUUCUUUCCAUGUCUCUGUCUAUCUUUCAGUGUCACUUUGGGUUGCUUUAUCUCUCUCUUUCUGUGUCUCUCUCUCUCUCUCGUGUUUCUCUCUUUUCAUCUCUUGUGUCUCUCAUUCUCUGUCUGUAUCACUGUCUCUAUCCCACACUUUUUCUUUUUGUGUGUCUUUUUCUAUAACUCUCACUGUCUCUGUUGUUUUGGGUGUAUCUCUCUCUCUCGUUCUCUCUUUGGGUGUCUCUCGCUCAGUCUGUCUUUCUCUUCAAGUGUCUCUCUCUCUCUCUGUCUAUAUCUCUCGCUCUCUCUUUUCCUGUCUCUUUUUUUUAUAUCUUGGGUCUCUCUCUCCUUGAGUGUCUCUCUUUCUCUCUCUGGGUUGCAAUCUUUCUCUUAUUG